rnacentral:rRNA from 1 species
AUGUACUCUGUGCUAUGUUAUUUAAUUACUUCAUUGACGCACAAGAUCUUGUUAAUUUCAGAUAUUAAUGAAUGCCUCCAACCAAACAUCUGUAAAGCGAACUGCCAUAAUAUUGAAGGAAGCUUCUAUUGUACGGAGUGUCCUCGCGGUACCGAGUAUGAUCUGGACAAAAUGCAGUGUACAACAACAAAACAACAAAUUCUGCUUUCAGGUAUUAUUAUUGGGUUGUGUGCUGGCUUCGGCAUUCUAGCUCUGAGUUUUAGUGCAACAUUUCUCAUUCGUAGAUGGAAUAGAAAUGUUCAACGGCAACUACGGAAGAAUUGA